UUGGAGGGCAAGUCUGGUGCCAGCAGCCGCGGUAAUUCCAGCUCCAAUAGCGUAUAUUAAAGUUGUUGCAGUUAAAAAGCUCGUAGUUGAAUUUCGGGAUCAAUGUUUCGGUCAUGCCGUUGGUAUGUACUGAUAUUAUUGAUUUCUCACCUUCUAAAGAACCGUAAUGCCAUUAAUUUGGUGUCACGGGGAAUUAGGACUGUUACCUUGAAAAAAUUAGAGUGUUUAAAGCAGGCUCACGCUUGAAUACAUUAGCAUGGAAUAAUGAAAUAGGACAUCCGAUUCUAUUUUGUUGGUUUCUAGGAUCGAUGUAAUGAUUAAUAGGGAUAGUUGGGGGCAUUAGUAUUCAAUUGUCAGAGGUGAAAUUCUUGGAUUUAUUGAAGACUAACUACUGCGAAAGCAUUUGCCAAGGAUGUUUUCAUUAAUCAAGAACGAAAGUUAGGGGGUCGAAGACGAUCAGAUACCGUCGUAGUCUUAACCAUAAACUAUGCCGACUAGGGAUCGGAUGAUGUUAAUUUUUUAAUGACUCAUUCGGCGCCUUACGGGAAAC
rnacentral:rRNA from 1 species